CACAAGGCAAAGCUUCUACAAUGGGCUCCUGCAUCAUGCAAGCAUCGGGCCUUUUGAACAGGCUCUGCUGACUGAAGUGAUCCCCACGGGCUGAGCUCAACAGACGAGGGAGAGGGAGCCUCGUAGGGAGCUCCUCCGCUGCACACACUCCACCGCAAACACACUCCGAGGCUGAAAACAAUGUCCCUCUCACUCAUGGGUUGUGACCGGCCCAUGGCAUUGGCCAGAUGGCUUUUGGCCUCUCCUUCCUGCCCGUUGUCAUCCCCGAAGUUCCGGCGACCCGACAACCCUGCCCAGUCGAUGUACUUGGCGGUAUCUGUAUGCGACCUGUCUGCCAUAUGUAAUAUCAAAGCCUCUGUCAGCACGGAGCUCAAUGGGAACAAAAGAGAGGCCUUCAUUAAUGAUUAACUGUUCUAAAAGCCCCGGCUUUUGUAUUCCCAUGGUGCCGAGGCUAUCUGGCCGCCAUGUGACAUGCUCGCAGCGUUUUUCGAGCAGAUUGGGGAAAGCUAGUGAGCAAACACAGGUGCUUUGGAGCGGCGUUGGCGACGCUGUCAGGGACAACCACAAACAAGAGCAGCUAUGCCUGGCUAAAUGAAUCCCCCCGCCCCCCAACUUUAACACCCCCGUCUCCCUGUCACUGGCUAACUUGUUUGCCAGGCCGCACUGCCUUCCUCAUGGAGAGUCCCGACACCCCCACCCCACAAGUCCAAUGUCCACCGCAACUUCUCACACCCUCCAAAGAAACAAACAAAUAAAAGUGAGGACGGCCGACCGCUUCUUUGAGGUGAUGGCAUUUGCGGCGGUCGUGACUAGUGGAAGAGCAAACAAAUUAACGGUGUUCGAGUUUUCACUUUCCAAACCAAACUAAAUGUCUUUUAGUUCAAGUGGGGCAAUUCCACUGACCCCCGUGUCAACCGCCGUGUAAGGGCUUGCACGCUCAUGCACUUGAAAUGACCAGAACAAAAUGACACAGGACUCGAGUACGACUGUGCGCAAAGCUGCUGUACUGAUACACAGCUGUCACAAUUAUCAAUAUAAUAGUACCUGCAUUUAUUCAUACUCAAACUUUAACUGGGAGUCUGGAGCAAUUAACCUUUUCAUCCAGACUGACUUGCUGACUUGAUUGUUCACACUGACUGAGCUCCUGUGUCGCUCUUUAUUUUGAUAAGACAAUCUGAUGAUAGGAUGGCGUUAUCUUAACACGGCUUUCCGGGUGGGAGACAAAUGAACAAUGUGUGAUAACGGGAACAAAAGCUCACCUCUUAUUGGCCCGACCUGCCUCGCGAUGGAAAAAUCACCGAGAUGGGGAAAAAAAAAAAAAUCACCUUUUCAUUUUCAAUUUUCUCCCUAGGCCUUUUAAAAUCAGUCAUACAUUAUAAUGUCUCUUGUUGGGGGUUUAAUUUCAUGGUCUGCAAUUAACUAAGCCAAUAAAGCAUUUAUUGUCUGGAAAGAUGAUAAAAAUGUACUUGGGCAAACAUUUGGGAUAAACAGCAGAGGAAAUGAAGUUGUAAACCCAAGGAAGACUAAUGUGCAAAAAGAUCAUGAGGUUUCAGUAAAAAAACAAAGAAAAAUAUAGGAUGGAAUGAAUAUUUUUGUUUGUGAAGCACAGAAAUAUUCACAAUCAAAAAAGAAGCAGGCCAAAAUGAAAACAAUGACUUCCAGUUGUCUGUAUUUUUUUUAAUGAAAAAAUGAUUUCUCUCAUUGUUGAAUGUGUAUGUAUUACCAUUUACACGUUCGUGGUUAUGCCAUGUUCACUUUAUUCUUCUUCAAUCCAUCUAUUUGAUAUUUGUGUGAUCACAUUUUAAAGGCAAGACUACUUAAGUGAUUCAAAAAGGAUUUUCUACAAGCAGGAGUGGCUCACGUCCGUCCAGGCAGAUUUAUCCUCUGCUUGCCGUGAGCUGAGUCCGAUGAGAAGAGUUACAAAUCCUCACUUUUAGGCUUCUUACUGUAAUUCUCAGGUCGGUCGACUGCAAUAAAAAUGCGGAGGCCCGUCAUCUCGAGAGGGAUUUGAGACCAUGUUGCCUCUUCAUUGUGUUUUGCUGAAGUUAUCCACAGUAUGAUUGUGUGGUCAAACUGGCUUUAAACCGGAGCUCAAUCAAAGACAAUUUUGUCUUUAAUGAGGGAAGACAUGAAAGCACAG